GGGAAGGAGGAGGAAGAAGAAGUGGGGGGGACAGACUAAAAAGCUGUCUCCCCUGUUUUCACUCCAGACCCCACAGUGUCUGUUCCUGCCUGGUGCUUUGGGGUGUCCUUCCUGUGGCCUUUCUGCCUGCAUGCCAGCCCACUGCUCUCCCUGCUUACCUAGAACAGGGCUCCUGUCCUUUGACAGUUCUGAGUUGUGCCUAUAAGUGGGACCUCCGCACAUUCACCCCCUUCUCUUGCUUCCCAAGAGGCUUCUGCCCCUCUUAGUGGAGAGGGGCUCCUAAAGAUCCGUUAAGCAAUGUGGGAUCUUCAUGGGCCAUCUAAGGUGGUUCCGAUACUUCUGUUGUGGUAAGGAGCCUCUCGUGGUUCCCAGUAUCCUCUUGGGGCCUGUAAGGUACUCAGGCCCAGUCUUCAGCGGGGUCCCACCAUUCUCCCAUAUGCUUUGCCAGUCUCCAUAGUUUAAGCUGCUUUCCGAACUCUAGAUCUGUCUAGAUGAUGUCGCAACCACAGAGAAGGAACUGGACACUGUGGAAGUGCUAAAGGCCAUUCAGAAAGCCAAAGACGUCAAGUCCAAACUGAGCAGCACAGAAAAGAAGGUUGGUGAGGACUUCCGGCUCCCAACUGCUCCCUGCAUCAGACCCAGCAGCUCCCCUCCCACUGCCGUUCCCACCUCAGCCUCCCUGCCUCAGCCUAUCCUCUCCAACCAAGGUAUCAUGUUCGUACAGGAAGAGGCCCUGGCCAGCAGCCUCUCAUCCACGGAUAGCCUGCCACCUGAUGACCGGCCCAUUGCCCAAGCCUGCUCUAACUCCAUGGGAUCUCUCCCCACAGGACAGGUGGCCGCUGAAGACUUAAGGGACUUGCCAGGAGCCGUUGGCGGUGUGAGGUAAGGAAGCGGUGAGAGGCAGCGG
rnacentral:lncRNA from 1 species